rnacentral:rRNA from 1 species
UCGGAGACGGUGCUCGUGCGGGCGGUGACGCUACACGCGUAUCCGAAGGACUCUCGGCAACGGAUAUCUCGGCUCUUGCAUCGAUNNNNNNNNNNAGCGAAAUGCGAUACUUGGUGUGAAUUGCAGAAUCCCGUGAACCAUCGAGUCGAGUCUUUGAACGCAAGUUGCGCCCGAAGCCAUUAGGCUGAGGGCGCGCCUGCCUGGGUGUCGCCCAUCGUUGCCCCAGUGCCUUGGCCUCGUGCUAGGCACCGAGCUGGGCGAAUGGUGGCUUCCCGCGAGCAACGCCUCACGGUUGGUUGAAAACUGAGUCCGUGGUGGGUGGCGCCGUGACGGAUGGUGGUUGAG